rnacentral:rRNA from 1 species
GAGGCAGCAGUAGGGAAUUUCGGCAAUGGACGAAAGUCUGACCGAGCAACGCCGCGUGAGUGAAGAAGGUUUUCGGAUCGUAAAACUCUGUUGUUAGAGAAGAACAAGCGACGUUAGUAAUCUGGAACGUGCCCCUGACGGUAUC